rnacentral:rRNA from 1 species
AGAUUGAACGCUAGCGGGAUGCUUUACACAUGCAAGUCGAACGGCAGCGCGGACUUCGGUCUGGCGGCGAGUGGCGAACGGGUGAGUAGUAUAUCGGAACGUGCCCAGUAGCGGGGGAUAACUACGCGAAAGCGUGGCUAAUACCGCAUACGCCCUACGGGGGAAAGGGGGGGAUCGCAAGACCUCUCACUAUUGGAGUGGCCGAUAUCAGAUUAGCUAGUUGGUGAGGUAAAGGCUCACCAAGGCGACGAUCUGUAGCUGGUUUGAGAGGACGACCAGCCACACUGGGACUGAGACACGGCCCAGACUCCGUACGGGACGCAGCAGGUGGGGAAUUUUGGACAAGUGGGGGAAACCCUGAUCCAGCCAUCCCGCGUGUGCGAUGAAGGUCCGUUCGGGUUAGUAAGACGUACGUUU